CGAGGCACCCGGCGGAGUGUUUCGUAGCGCACGGACGGAGCAGCAGCUGCUGCUGCAGCAGCAGCAGCAGCAGCAGCUUUAAAGCUACGGGGAAAGUCCCCGAGCCAGCAAGCCGCGAGGGUUAGGAGUUAUGCUCAUCCAGUUUUGUGCGCAGCUCUCAGCUAGCUAGCUAGCUAGCUAGCUAGCUGCCCUGAGACCGUUAGUGGCAGCAGGGUGUGAGCGGCACAAAAUGUCUAGCGAUUGGCGGCGAGCAGCAGCAGCAGCAAACUGCUGCUGCUGCUUCCCGUCGCGUAUCAGGCGUGAGCUUAUGCACUCGGUGUACAUACAGCAGCACCAACAGGAUGGGGCUUACGUCUGGGUUGCCUC
rnacentral:RNase_MRP_RNA from 1 species